rnacentral:tRNA from 1 species
GCCGCUUUAGCUCAGCAGGUAGAGCACCACCAUGGUAAGGUGGGGGUCGCCGGUUCAAGCCCGGCAAGUGGCU